GGUAAUACGUAGGGUGCGAGCGUUAAUCGGAAUUACUGGGCGUAAAGCGGGCGCAGACGGUUACUUAAGCAGGAUGUGAAAUCCCCGGGCUCAACCUGGGAAUUGCGUUCUGAACUGGGUGGCUAGAGUGUGUCAGAGGGGGGUAGAAUUCCACGUGUAGCAGUGAAAUGCGUAGAGAUGUGGAGGAAUACCGAUGGCGAAGGCAGCCCCCUGGGAUGGCACUGACGUUCAUGCCCGAAAGCGUGGGUAGCAAACAGGAUUAGAUACCCUGGUAGUCCACGCCCUAAACGAUGUCGAUUAGCUGUUGGGCAACUUGAUUGCUUGGUAGCGAAGCUAACGCGUGAAAUCGACCGCCUGGGGAGUACGGUCGCAAGAUUAAAACUCAAAGGAAUUGACGGGGACCCGCACAAGCGGUGGAUGAUGUGGAUUAAUUCGAUGCAACGCGAAGAACCUUACCUGGUCUUGACAU
rnacentral:rRNA from 1 species